CCGGCGACGGUGUCCGACGAACCGGGAGAAGUCAGCCGAGGCCAUAGUAGGUGGUCCCGAUGGGGACGACUGAAGGGC
rnacentral:ncRNA from 1 species